rnacentral:rRNA from 1 species
UGGGGAAUAUUGGGCAAUGGGCGAAAGCCUGACCCAGCAACGCCGCGUGAGGGAAGAAGGUCUUCGGAUUGUAAACCUCUGUCCUUGGGGACGAAAAAAAUGACGGUACCCAAGGAGGAAGCCCCGGCUAACUACGUGCCAGCAGCCGCGGUAAUACGUAGGGGGCGAGCGUUGUCCGGAAUUACUGGGCGUAAAGGGUGCGUAGGCGGUUGCCUAAGUCAGAUGUGAAAUCCCCGGGCUUAACGCGGGUGGUGCAUUUGAAACUGGGUAACUAGAGUGCAGGAGAGGGAAGCGGAAUUCCUAGUGUAGCGGUGAAAUGCGUAGAUAUUAGGAGGAACACCAGUGGCGAAGGCGGCUUUCUGGACUGUAACUGACGCUGAGGCACGAAAGCGUGGGGAGCAAACA